AGUCGGAGCAUCCCUGGCUGCAGCGGCGCUGGGCCCGUUCCCCCCAACCCCCCCGGCCACCUGCGCGCCCCGGGCCGGCUCCCGCACCGGCAGCCCCGCAGACAUCCCCGCUGGCGGGGGGCUUCUCCGCGGGGCCGUGCCCGGACCCCGGAGGGGGAUGUGGAUAUGGAGGAGGAGGAGGAGGAGGAGGAUGAUGAUGCCGCUCCCCGAGCCCCGGGAGGGUUUCGGCGCUGGCAGGCGCAGCGUGGGGAUGCGGGGGGGGAGCGGUGCGGAGGCGGCAGCGGCGCGGCCCGUCGGAGGUUUUGGUAGCUUGUCAUUACUGAAAGGGGCGGAUGCCGUCAGCCACAACAGCUGUUGGACCGUCCUCGUACCCAGAAGUGAGGAGACAAAAGUGUGACCAUGUGCAGGCUUGGGACUUCUUCCCCUCCACCAAGCAAAUGGGUUCUGAGCCAAGAGGAUUUGUCUCUGGAUGGUUUAUCUCUACUGGGAUCUCUGGAGUGAUAAGCCAUCGUGGACUGACGUGGGUUUUGGAUGCUCCCUUCCGUCUGUAGCUGGGAAUGUCACGGCCAGAAAGUCUGCAGACACCUGCUGCUCUCAAAAUCUGGUGGAUUACUUCUUUUGGCAUUAUUCUGCUAGUGCUGUGGUUUUGACUAAUCUGGUGGAACUGGCUUCGCUACAUGAAAUCUCCAGUUGACAGAUGUGGAAAAGCAGCGGUUACAGCCAAAUGCUACAGUGUCCCCUCUUUUUCUGGGCUGCUUACUCUGAGCAUCGUGGCUCUGGAGGAGGAAGGAGUCUACGCGCAUGUGUAGGACAAGUCCUGCUGGUCCUGGAAUCAUGAGAACUUCCAAUGACUUGGCAAAUCUCUCUGAAUCACUGACAUUCUGCUGCCAUCUCCACCCAUGCCUGUCCCUUGCCUGCUCCCUCGUCGGGUGUCAGUUCUCCAGCCUACGUGCUGAGAAGAAAAGUUAAAAAGGGAAGAAUCAGAGGCGGAGGAGCAGCCGUGGGACCUGUGCGAAGCCCUGUGGAAAACGGGAGAGACCACGGAAGGGACGAAACCCACCGGACUCCACUCCAGUCCCUAUUUUAUCCCGUCGCAGCCCAAGGGAUGAAGAACGGGCACAAACACUGUAGAUAACCACCCAAGAGCCCCGCUGUCCCUCUGAUCAGCCGUGUCGCACCCCCGGCAGCUCCGCUGGCUGAAGCAGGUCUGGCCAGGAAACCUUCAAGUAGCAGCACUUUCCCUUUUAAGCAGAGCCCACACGGAAGAGUGGAGGGGAUGUAAUCUACGCACCAAGGGACACCGGGACCUCUGCGUUUCGGUGGAGGAAAUCUGCCUGCGCCAAGACCCAUUCGUGCUGACUCUCUGCCUGCACAUACGCACCAUAUGCCCAAUCUUCACUUAAGGAGGGUGAAACUUCAAAGACUUGCAGCAACUGAGAGCCACCUAGAAGUGCUGGAAGCUUUUGGUCAUGAAAUGCUUGUCCAAGUCUCAGAUGAUGAGGUCGUCUUUUCAAAACUGCUCUUACGUCAUCUCGCAUCCAGAGUCAGUGUCCUUGCAUCAAACUAUCCCAGCAUCGCUGGGGUAUUUCAGCGCACAGAAGCUGCCGUUUAUGGGCUGUUUAUGCGUCUUUCUCUGAAGUGUCUGGUCCAGGCCACACAGGCGCCUGGGCUGCUGUGAGCUGGAAUUAGCCAUGUUUCUAGGUCAAACAUCUCAGAAGAACUCUGAUCCUCCAGAUAGAAGCCCUGCAGCCUUCAAAAGGAGAAGAGGAUGCCUCCAGUUAAGCUCUCAGGGGGGAAAAAAAAAAUAAAAAAAAUCCCGUUUACCUUUUAACUGAUUUUUUAAACACGCUGCCCUUCCAAAAAAAUAAAAUAAAACCCAAGGCGCACGAAGGUAUGAAACAGAGCAGGAUGUUAAAUACGCAACCUACGUCAGCAAGGAGCUUGCUCUUAAUCAACCAUCCACCUGAAAUACCUGGGGGCAAGGAAGGAGGCUGCGGGAACAUGUUGCAGCAGAGCGAAGCCAUCUCAGAGGAGAGCUGCCACACAAACGGCGAGCCGGAAGGGUGGCUUCAGGAGCCACUUCUGAAACGGCUCCUGUUUGAUCCCCGCGUAACAUCGCGCCAGAAGCGGGAUGAACAUGUUAAUUCGGAGAAAGUCCCCCUCCUCACUCCAGCAGGUUUAUUACCCUAAUUGACUUACGGCGCUCGGUUCUAAAUUAGCCCUCUUGGAAAUGUGAUCAGCACCGGUAAUUUUCCACUUUAUGCCAUACUUUAUAAUAAAUAAUUUUAAAAAAAAAUCAUAGAUAGCAGUAGUAUUAGAUCACUGGUGCUCAUGAACUAGCCUUCUUUUAAAGUAUGGUGUAGAAAAGAGUUGGGUUUUUUGAUGAUGCAUCCUUAAAACCGUGUCUGUGUUACUCUUUUGCCAUAAUUAAAUUAUUGCUCAUAAGAACUUUUGCUUGGUCAAAAAGAGAAAAACCCCCAAUUAUAAUAAUUCCAUUUCAGUGUUUUCCAUAAGCUCCUAGCCAAGUUGGCCAAUAACUAAAGCAAAGAGCAGGGGAAAAAAAAGGUAUGUAUUGUAUACUCACUUAAAACUUGGCUAGAAAUGACCUUUUAUUGUCUAAUUUUUUUUUCCAUGCCCAACUUGGCUACUUGAGACAAACCCAUUGCCAAGUCUCUGUAGUGUGUUAUUUUCCUAUGUAUUAUGUGUUCAAAAACAUUUAUAAAAGCUGCCCCCCAAGUGUUGUACAAGGUUUUUGCAUGGACAAGGGCAGAGGAGCCUGGGUUUGAUAGCGUUACCGAUGAAGAUGCUGGUGUUAAAAAGCUAGAUACGUUUUGCUUGCUUUGGGUUUGAUUUUUUUUUUUUUUGUUGGGUUCUCCCCCCUCCCCCAUCCUCUUCCCCAUGCAGCCCGACAUGGCAAGAUCUCCAAAUGGGCUGUGCUAACAAAUUUAGCUGAAGACAGCCAUGUGAUGUUAAUAUAAACCUCCUCUGUCAGCUUGGAGAGGCACCAGGAAAUUGCCCCAGGAAUGCUUUUUGCAGCGCCUGUCUCUGCUCGGUGCCACGCGGUGGCAUUUGUCAGGCGCACUCAGCCGCGGCUCUCCGGAGGGCGCAGGACCUUUUCCCUCUGUCUGGGUCACUGUAACAUGCAUCGUGUUGUGUCUGAGAACAUCGAUGACUUUUCAAUUAAAAAAAAAAAAAAAAAAAAAAAAAGGAAGCGAUUCUGGGUUACAAAAACCAACCCCCAAACCAGUUCCUGCCAUUCUGGCUCCUCCAUAAGGAUCCGGCCGUCGCAUAAGUGAUACUUGAAUCAUGAUAAAAUAAGAACUGCAGCUCUCUCCACAUUUCAAGGGUAAUUUCUCUUUGCUUCCCUCAAGAAAAACACCGCACUGAAAUAAAUAUAAAGACCGGGGAUCAGGCGUACUCUUAUUUGGGAUCAUUUCAUUUUAGAAAGGAAGAAAAAUGAUUUUAAAGUUUGAUGCAAUUUUUUUUUUGUGGUUGUGCAGUUGAAGUUUGCAUUUUACUACAUUUGCCUCAGAGACGUGUUUAAUUUCUUUCUUUUUUUAUAUUUAAUUUCAUUUUCUGUUUUUUUAUGAAGUCCCUCAGUGUUUUUUUGUGGUGAGCUGCCAUGGUGUUACCAAUGCAUCUGAAAUAUUACAGGCAGAAAGACAGCCACUUGAAAGCAAUAAUGAGGGCAAGUCUGUCCUAGCUUUUAUUUCCUAUAUGUGUUAUGUCCGAUAUAAAGUUAGACAAAGGGUAAAGCUUUCAGACAUCCUGAUCCCGCAACUGCUUAUAAACACAUUUAAUUUUAUUAUCCAACAGCACAAGCUGAAUACAUCUACAGUGCAGAGGUAUAAGCUCUAGCUGCUUUUGAACAUGAUUUAGAAAUCCAGCUACGGGAAAGGAAAUAAAAGUGCAAUUUUCAAAUGUUGUACAAGUUUUCUCCCUGCAUCUUGUGAUACCAACCAUCUUUUACAACCCUACCCUGAAUGAUUUAGGAGCAAAAGUCGCACUGAGACAGGAGCCUAAAUCAGUCAAAUGUGGCAGAAGGUGAUUGUAUUCUUGAUGGGUCCUUUUCCAUUUUAUGUGUCAUCCUAUUUUCACAUACUUCUUUUUCACUCCGACGUAGAUGGACUUGCUCUUCGUUAGCAUGUUGGUAACCGAGCGCGCAUCUAACUCUGCUAUGUGCAGUGCUGGCAUUUGUUGGGUUACUUAAAUGUAGGUCAAAUCAGAGAGGACUUGGAAGAAAAGUGAUGGAGACAAAACUGAGAGAGGAAAGGUCGUGUGCAGCAUGAUGCACACAGAUGGCUUAUUAUCGCUAGGACCAUGUGGCAGAAUCCAAACUCAUCUGACAGUCUGUUUUCGUGAUACAAAACUCUUUCAGGGACUGCUGAACCUCUGAAAGUAUCUGGGUGCAUUCUGCAUGAUGUUCACACUUUGCUGACCUUGCAGAAGCCUUGGGGUAGUUGCAGUUUCGAAUCUAGUGUUGCACAUUAAGAGAUUUAAUGCAAUGCUUGUGGUGAGAUGGAGAUCCAACCAAACAUUUUGGUGUUUGCCAGGUCUUUCAUUCAACCCCGACUCACCAGGUUUCUGUAGGUUUCCAGAGGGCAGAUGGACGUUUUGUAGGUCCCACCUUGCCUGGCAUCUCUGCAGGAGUGAACGUAACUCAACAGAAGCUCUUCUCUGUGGAUCAGCCCUUACCUUUCUCCUGCUCAAAGACUAUGCAGAAAGCGAGAAUCAAGUGACUGAAAGAUUUAUGCUGGAACUAGAUCCCCAUGGAUCAGAACACGAAUAACACCUCCAUCCCCUCCCAAAUCUUCCAGGCCUGACCUUUCACAAUCUCCAUUUCCUGACCAAUGACUCCAAAGAAAAUAGAGCUGCUAGUUGGUAUUUAAUGGAAAUCUGCGCAAAACUUGUCAAAAUACACCACCAUGCCUGUCAGAUGCCUGGGACAAGACCUCUACAGUAGUUUCCAGAAACCCAGUGCAAUUACUUACAUUUUAAAUUAUCUUUAAUUGUCGCAUGUGAGCUACAGAAACAUUUUUCCCCACUCUGAAGCAAGACCUCGCUAUUAAGAGUCACCCCGUAAUUGCAGCUUUAAUAGGGGGACCGCAGCAGGUCAGCCGCGAAGGUUAGCGCAGGGUGCAGCAAGGCGAGAGCGGCUGCUGAACGCCAGUAAGUGGAAGUGACACAUCACAAUAGUCCCAUCAAUUAUGUAGGGGCAGUUUGGAGUGUAAACUUUUUAGUGAAUCUAAUUACCUCGCCAGAUGUUUUAAUCCAAUCUCCUUGCCCCUCCUCUGCCAUCAAAUACUACAUUGUUUUUUGAGCUCCUGAUAUGAAAAAGUCACCUCAACUAUAGAAUCUAGAAUAAACUUGAUGAGGGGUUUUUUUUUUUUUGCAGGGACCGAGCAUCCUUUCUCUAUCCGAGAGAUUAUUCAGAUUCAUGUGUGACUCGGUACUCGUGGGAUUGCACUGAACCGGAAUGAACAUGCUCGUGAAUUGAUAAGGGUGUCAUGAAGGGUGCAAGACUGAUGAAAAAUAGAUGAGAUGGUGUAAAUGUGCUCAAGAGCUGAAUGACAACUGUUAGCCUGGCAAUGCCGAAUUUAAGCAGGUCCUGUCGAUAGCAUUAGAGAUGCCGCACCAGAUUUUCCGAGGCUGUUUGCAAAUUGACCUAAUGUUCCUGUUGACACAAAACCUUGAAAGCACAGCUAAAAGCAGCAUUGCUGAACUCUCCUGAUUUGCUCACAGAUUGUGGUCAGAUGCGAGCAUGAAAGAAAAUACUUGCCUGUGCAUCCAGGAGAGGGGGAAAAUACUGAAUUAACUGUGCACACAGAUGCACGAUGUUACCUUCCAGAAGCGCAGAGCAGGGAAGGGACCUAGCAGCAUGGGGAGGAAUUUCCUCGUCAUUCAGUGAACUGUGUUUUUUGGUUUGGUGGGAAAUCUGGGUGUGCACAUGCAACACACAUUGACCAGUGUUGACUGCAGAGCAUGGAAAAAAAAUCUCCAUCUUUGACAACUUAAAGCUCUAACAUGAAAAAAAAAAACAACA